rnacentral:misc_RNA from 1 species
GGGUUAACCAAAUCUGGGUUAUUCUCAUGCAACACACACAUAUGGUGAAGAAAUCAAACACAAGGUAUAGAAAAGUACCACCUAUACAGAUAUUAUAUUGAAGACAGAAAAUAAACAGCAAUAUAUAUACUGAAAAGAUAAGUGAGCAGAAGCAAGUUCUGGGCUGCUUGAGUCUGAACCUGGUGAAGAAUUUUCCGGUUGAUGGAGACGAUCGAAUCCCAGAACUUAUAUCAAGAUCUUUAAUGUGAAGGAUGUAUAAGUAGCGGCACUUGCUUAUGCUUCUUCACUGCCACUUUGAUUGCCAUAUUUGAGUAUAUUGAACUUGCAAAGAGGACAAGUUGCGUUCAUGUACAACCACUUGUCUAUGCAGACAGAGUGAAAAUGGUGACGACAAGGGAGCUCACGCAGCUCAAUUCCAUCUUCAUAGGGACAAAGGCAGAUGCAACAUUCGGCAUCUUCCAAUGGAAGAACAUGCUCAAUGGGUGUAUCAGUGUCACAUUCAGUCAUUACUCCUCCAAAUGAUUCUUGAAUCUCGCCAUUUUGUUUUUCAAAUUUACCAAGUCUUCGAAACUUGUAUUUAGUCAAUCUCUCAACGUCUUCCUUGGUUGCUCCUUCCUGGUCUGCCACUGCAUAUAAAAUAGCGAUGAUACAUGGUAAACAGCAACAAACAGCAAUUCCAAUGAGACAUGCCACGGCAACACAUAUAACAACAAAGAAUACAUCAAAUGCUAGAAAUGUGAGACACAGCCAGUAAAGUUGAGGUGCAUCACGGGCCAAACUGUCGCCACCAGCAGAUAUCCAAUAGAAACCAAUUAUCCACCAAAUGAAAGAAAACAUGGUAUUUGCAGAUUCCAGAUGCUUAGCUACACUAAUUUCAUCCUCAUUCUGACGCCCCUCAGACUGAUAAUCACCAGUUUCACCGCUGUCACUUCCGGAACUCGAACUGUUCCAACCUCCAGCAGCGUUUCUCUGCUCGGAAUUCAAAAUUGGAGAUGAAUCGCUAAGCUGAAUUCGGCGUCUAUACUCAACGCAAACACAAACCAUGUGAAGCAAACACUGUAAAGCAUAUCCAACAAUCCAAAGCCUCAAAGGCAUAGAAGGUAACUCAUCAUGGCUCAGAAUCAACACAGAAACUGAGACAAUCACAAAAGCUAAGUUCCAGAUAAGAUCCAAUAUCACUAUAGGUUUGGAAUAUGCCCAAUCGCUUUGUCGUUCCUCUAUGUGCUCAGCUGCAGCUUCCCUCACGCGCCUUGACGGCUCCCGCAUCAGUCGGUGGUUACUUGCUCGCCGGAGAAAUCGAGCCGCUCCUCUUAGGGUCGGGGCCCGGCGCGCCAACCGUCGGCUCCUAAAAACCUGAUCGGUAAGCAACGGAGUCGUAUCUACACCAUUAGAACUAUCGUCAUUACCGGCUCUCGCCGUCGACAUCGUCACCAGAAUAUAAAAUUGACCGAGAAAGGAUCGACGGUGAACUAUUGUAAUUUAGAAAAUUUUGAGAAAGAAGAAAUUCAAAGUUCUGGGCGUCACCAUUAG